GAUUAACGCUGGCGGCGUGCCUAACACAUGCAAGUCGAACGAGGUAGCAAUACCUAGUGGCAGACGGGUGAGUAACGCGUGGUCAACCUACCGUUGAGUGGGGGAGUAACUAGCCGAAAGGUUAGCUAAUACCGCAUACGUCUCCGAGGGGCGAUCCCUUGGCGAUAAAAGGAAGCAAUCCGCUCGAUGACGGGACCGCGUCCCAUUAGCUAGAUGGUGGGGUAACGGCCUACCAUGGCACCGANGGGUAGCUGGUUUGAGAGAGCGACCAGCCACACUGGGACUGAGAAACGGCCCAGACUCCUACGGGAGGCAGCAGUGGGGAAUAUUGGACAAUGGGCGCAAGCCUGAUCCAGCAAUGCCGCGUGAGUGAGGAAGGCCUUAGGGUUGUAAAGCUCUUUCGCACGCGACGAUGAUGACGGUAGCGUGAGAGAAGCCCCGGCUAACUUCGUGCCAGCCGCCGCU
rnacentral:rRNA from 1 species